rnacentral:rRNA from 1 species
GACGAACGCUGGCGGCGUGCUUAACACAUGCAAGUCGAACGGUGAAGCACCUUCCUUUUGGUGGGUGUGGAUGAGUGGCGAACGGGUGAGUAACACGUGAGUAACCUGCCCCCUUCUUCUGGAUAACCGCAUGAAAGUGUGGCUAAUACGGGAUAUUCUGGGUCUGUCGCAUGGCGGGCCUGGGAAAGAUAUUGUUUCGGUGGGGGAUGGGCUCGCGGUCUAUCAGCUUGUUGGUGGGGUGAUGGCCUACCAAGGCGGUGACGGGUAGCCGGCCUGAGAGGGUGGACGGUCACACUGGGACUGAGACACGGCCCAGACUCCUACGGGAGGCAGCAGUGGGGAAUAUUGCACAAUGGGCGCAAGCCUGAUGCAGCGACGCCGCGUGAGGGAUGGAGGCCUGCGGGUUGUAAACCUCUUUCGCCAGUGAAGCAGGCCUGUCCCUUUUGUGGGUGGGUUGACGGUAGCUGGAUAAGAAGCGCCGGCUAACUACGUG